GGGAGAUGGAACUGAAUGCUGGGAGGAAGAAAGGCAGAGUCAGAGAGACACCAUGGAUCCACGGCCACAGAUGGACAUGAUGGAACUUUGCUGGAACAGUACUAGAUCAGAAGAAGAUGGUGGCAACCACACAGUCAUGGUCUGCAUGUGUUGAAAGGGGGGAACAGACCCGGUGAUGUCCUGGAGAUCCUGUGAUGUCAGCACAGACCCGGUGAUGUCCUGGAGAUCCUGUGACAUAUAACACAGACCCGGUGAUGUCCUGGAGAUCCUGUGACGUAUAACACAGACCCAGUGAUGUCCUGGAGAUCCUGUGACAUAUAACACAGACCCGGUGAUGUCCUGGAGAUCCUGUGAUGUCAGCACAGACCCGGUGAUGUCCUGGAGAUCCUGUGACAUAUAACACAGACCCAGUGAUGUCCUGGAGAUCCUGUGAUGUGCAGAACACACCUGGUGAUAUUCUAUAGCGCUUGCGCCAAUAGAGACGGGAAGCAGGCCACAGCUGUGUUUAAAACUGCAUUUAGAUGAUGACGAAAGCACAGAUAUCAGUGCGAGAGGGGGCAGGGAGAGCGACAUCCUCGGAUAGAGACAAUAUGAACAAAAUCUGGGAGCUGGAGAAGUGGGGAAACGCUUGCCACAGCAUGAGGGUCUGAUCUCUGAGCCCUAGAACCUAAGGAAAAAGCCAGAUAAGGUGGCAAGGAGGUGCCAAUAAUUUGAGUUGGGGAGAAAGAGCCAAGAGACUCCCUGGGGCUCACCAUCCAGCUCAGUUAGCCUUCUGAACUGGGGAGCUCCCUGUUCAGAGAGAGACCUUGCCUUACACACACAUACAAAGGUGGAGAGCAAUGAAGAAGACAUUUGAUGUUGACCUCUGACCUCCACACAUCCAGAACACCCUAUCACGAACAAAAUCUAGUCAUUUAUGGCUUAAAGAAACACAGUCAUUAAUGAAAUUUUUAUAAAAACUAGAAGAGGAUUAAGGAAAAACAUUUUUUAUAAAAGAAAGAAAUCAAACCAAGAAAGGGAAAGAAAGAGAAAGAGAAAGAAAAACCCCACAGGAGUGGUAUCUUAUAGUCCUACAAAAUGUCAUGAGUCCCACAUUAUAAUUCUGCAAUUCCAUGUGAUCUGUCAUCCAAGCUGAGGAAUACCUGCACACAAGGAAACCCAGAUAUUCAGUUAUCCGGUGGGAAAUUGCACAAUUUUCUUUUUCCAUAGAUAGAAUCGCAGGCUGGCCUUGAACUCACUGAGGGUGGCUGAGGGUGACCUUGAACUUCUGACCCUCUGCUUCUACCUCCCAAGUACUGGGAUUACAGGUGUGUGCUACCACACCUGGUUUAUGAAGUACUGGGGGUGGAGCCCAAGACUUGAUGCCAGCUAGGCAGCAGCCUACCGACCGGCUACAUUCUCAACCCCUUUAUGAAGACUUUCUGUCUGGGGGGAAUUAACACCCAGCCUCUGACCACAAGCCGAGGGAAAUGCCUACGACCCUGUGAAUUAAGGAUUGAUCCUUAAUCCUGAGAGGCCAAGUAGGCCAGAGUUAAGUGUAGUUCCCGUAGAGAGAUGCCCAGAAGAAUGAACUACAGAAAUUUGAGAGCAAGCUUCGGAGUCUUUGACUGAAGGUUACACAUGUGUGUACAGAGUAAAAUCCCACAAUCCAGCUAAGAGUGAAUUUAAGAGCUGGGGCUUCCCAGGAGAUGGUGGCACACACCUUUAAUCCCAGCACUCGGGAGGCAGGGUCGGGCGGAUCUCUGUGAGUUCUCAGCCAGCCUGGUCUCCAGAGUGAGUUCCAGGACAGCUGGACGGUUACACAGAGAAACCUUGACUCUAGGCUCUUCGCAGAGGUGCGUCCUACUACACAAGCCCCUUGGAAUAGAUGAAGAGGUGGGCAAUGACCUGACCUUUCUGGGCCUCAGUUUCUCCAUCUAUAAAAUCAAGGUGGCCCGAGUUCCCAGGCUGAAUCGGAAACCCUCGGCACUGAUGUGCGUUUGAUUGAAGACACUUUCAAAUACAA